rnacentral:lncRNA from 1 species
CCGUAUGUGGUUUUGUUUGCAAUGAUGGUAGGAGGAUGAUGGCAAUGGCAUCUAUAGGUCCAUGAGACCAUGACUCCAUCCCUAAACGAACGGAAAUUUGGAGAGGAUGAAAUGGUCCCAUUGUAGUGGGCACAAUUGCAAGGCACAAGGACUUCACUGUCCAUGCAAGGGGAUCCAAAAGAAAGAAGGUGAUGUGCCUAUGCAUUAGUGCUUUUCGUUUUCUAGUGUUUUAAGUUAUCCGGUAUCAUCUAGGUUCAAUUAUAACUUCCCUAGAUAUCUAAACUUGCUUAAACGUUGUGUCACAUAUGGCCAUUAUAGUGUGUCACAUGGAAACCAUGAUGGGCUAUUAGCCUAUUACAAAUUGAUGGAUCGCCACACUUCCAUUUCAUAGCUAAUCAUGGUCAUGCAAUCUUCUUGACUUCUAC